UCUGCAUCAUGGGGAAAGAAAAUAUGAUGGACCAGCUCCUUCUUCCAGGUUCUGGAGUCCUGAUUAAUCAAAUCGGAGACCCGACGCAGCCAGAGUGCUUCCUGCUUUUCCGUGAUGGCAUUCUGGACUUGUGGAUGGCAUCUUUUAACUAAUGCUCUCUGGAAUCUGAAGCUUCGUUUGAGGUGCAUAUCUGACUAGCUAGAGUUUUUGUUGUUGUUGACGUAAACAUCCUUUUAUUCGAAUAGACGGAACUAUUUCUGAUUUACACCGUUAUCGGACUAUCAUAAGGAGGUGUGCGUUCACAGGAGGUAGUGGUUCGGGUGUGAGAGAAUUUGCUUUUGUACUUUGUUUCUCAAGAAAACUAUGAACCAGGAAUAUGUCAAAGUAUACAUGAUUUUUACGGGUGCGGAACUAUUUCGCUCGUGGUAUAAGAACUGCAGCCUCCAGCGUUGCUGCUGCGAAUCCCCAAUCGAGCGCCUCCUCUCGCACGAGCACGGCGACUGGCCCUAGGCCUCACGGCAUGCCGCCGCCGCCGUCCAUCGCCCGCGCGGGGUCUGCCCCCGGAUCCGGCCGUCAACACCUCGCAGCCCUUCUCUUUCCCCUUGCCCCGCCCCUCGUUUCUUCUCCCUCCUGCAGAAGCCUAGCACCUAGCGGGCGAUGAGAAGAUGCAGGUGGUGGUGGGCGAGGACGACAGCGGCUCUCCCGCGCCGCGCUCCAGUUUGCAACUUGCUCCAGCGACGUUCUCCGCCACCACCAAAUGGCUAUCCGCGCUCGACCUCCAUCGCGCUGCAGGUGUGCCCUCCGCAACGCAUUCCCUCCUCUCCCCCUUGUUCAUUUCAAUUCUGAUUUGUAUUUAAUUCUCUGCAUCACUUAGUAGAUGGGUUGGUUGUAUUUGCCAUAUAGUAGACGAAUCGCUUGCUACUUGUUAGUAGGAGCUCCACCCCAGCGCGCCCAUGGAUGAGGCAGCAUAGGUACUCGUUUAAGCAGAGCAGCAUUGGACUUCUUCUCGGCUAAGAGGCGCACAUCAUGGCUGACGAUGACUGCGUCGAUCAGUCCAAGCUAUGUAGCUGGAUGCAGAAGGGGAGCCGUGCCACCACAAAUUUUUGGAGAAUCUUUCUGAAUGGGAUGUCAAACAAUCCCACUCGAUCUUGCUAGAGAGUCGAUGCUUAUUGGUAAACACAGUUUCCUUUUGGUUGAUGCAAAGACUCAAAGUAGAUAUCUUGUUUUUCAGUGCUGUUAUUGGCAAUGGUGGCUUGGGAGUUCCAAGUGCUUGGGAUUGGUUCCCAGCCUCGGUCAAGCAGGGGCAAAUUUCUUAAAAAAUGUGGUCUUACUGUAGUUUUAGUUAUUAGAAUCGUUGCUUGCACGAGUCAUAUAGUACAAGGUUUGGGUUCACGGUAUGCAACUAGAUUUUUCUUUGACAGUCUGCUGAAAACCUCAACAUGUAUCCUUAGUUAGUUCAGAUUUGAUGAUUUUGAUAUGCUAUGCAAAUUGUAGAUUGGUUAUAGGUUUUUAGAUAAUUUAUAUUUUACAUGAACUGCUACCUGUACAGCUGUACUUACUCGAUAUAUGUUAUGUUUAAUAAAAGUCAUGCACCCUGUACUAGCUCCUUGUUCCUUUCAGCUAUUAGUCUGUUACCUUUCACUGCCAGCAGUAAAACAAAAUACUAUGACUUACUUUUUUUUGAAAACAGACAAGUGAGAUUUCAAAGCAGCCCACAUUGUUCAAAUUGUUUCUCGUGCAAGAGCAGUAUUUUUUUAUAAUUUAGAUUGGGUCAGGACUCAUGAGUGGUCUUGAAAAGCUUUCCUCCAAUCAGUCAUUAUUUCUGUUUCCUGGUUAUUUUUUCCUAUAUCUUUCAGGAUGUUCGAUUUUGUCAACGUUUCAGCCAAAAGGUUGUUGAUGCCAAGGAAGAGAUGGUUGACUUCUUUCUGUGUGCCAUAUUGGUGUUGAUAAGAAAUUCAAUGUUUCCUGAAUGGAAUUUAUUGACAUGAAUUUGUAGGGCAGUGGUGAGGGAAAGCAUAAGGUUGUGGACUGAAUCAGUAAACUAGAGAAGGGGUGCCACUGAGUAGUAGCAUAUGGUCGGGCUUGAUGAGGAACAGGAACACCAUUGCCUCCUUCAUCUCCAAGCUCACCGGGUUCCGGGAGAUGUACAUCAUACUGCUUCACCAGUGCGGGUCACACCAGGCCCAAGGUCACCAAUCUCUGCGAUUUAGGAGAGGGCAACACGGUUACCUCUUGCUCCAAUCUUGAUUGAGUAAAUGACAUGUUCAUGAUCCAUCAGAGUUGCUUCAGACCUUAUUUAACAAAAAGCAUCAACUGAACCACCACCAGCAAAGUUGUACAUUAAUUUUUGAGAAAUUUGCUUUACUACCAUCAACUCAGCAGCAAGCUUUUUGUUGUCAAUUUCCACAGAUUAGUUUAUGAUAGCCUUUCUUCUUUAUCAUACUAAUUUAUUUUAGAAAAAUUAUGACCAACGUGUGAUUGAUAAAGGGAAUUCUGUUGAUAACUUGAAUUUGUCAACAGCCAACACCAUCUUCAUUUGUAUGUUCAGAGAAUAAAUUUUGUCCAAUUUAGCUGAUAGCUCAUUUCACGUAUUGAUCUGGUGGUAAAUUUACUAAUCAUGUAUUCCUGUUGGUGUUUUGUAUUGGUAGGAAAAUUUGAUAGCCUGGCUGGGUGUGAUGCUUUAUCUCCCAUGCUGCCGCAGAUCAGCAAUGCACUAUGUGAAACCCAGAUGCAGUUUUAUCUGCUCGCCCUCAGCAGCCAAUAUUUCAGAUCUGCUAAUUCUCGAUGCCUUUAGUGUUUGUCAGGUUUCUAGGUAAGGAUUCCACUGGCUUGUUUUUUCUGUUUAUAUGCUCCUUUGGGUCUUUGCCUAAUGGCUAAUGCCUUUAGUCAGAUUCAAUUAUCGUAGUAAUAAUUUUGUCAAUUCGCAACUACUUUGAGCUACAGAAUCAUGGCCAAGAGUUAAAUCAGUAAUUUUUAUGUGGUAAAUCUAGAGAUGCAACAUGAUUUCCAUCAGGCACCUGUCGCCCCUCAUGUGCAGCCACUGUUCUGAUAUUUUUUCUGUACUCCAUUCUGAUUUUUUGCUCUGCACCUGUCGCCUCUCAUUUGUGCAGCCACCUAUGUUUUUCCAGUGUAUCGGUGAUCUGUAGUUUUGUACUAAGGUGAGCAGGAUACAACCAAGAGAUGUUGUGUGCUUCUAGCCUACAACCCAAUAUUGACUGGAUGGUCGGUCUUGUUACUUGGUUUGCGAGACCCAUGGCUGAUAACUAAGUGCAGUUUUCAUUUCAAAAUGUACUGCACACAAGGCAACAUUGCCUUCGAUAGUAGUGUACAAAUAGAAGGUCCGAAGUCCUCCAAUUUUUUGUUUAUGUUCUUUGGAGAUCAGUCUAAUAAGAAGUACUUAGGAGUCAUGCACCUUUUGGGCAUGAUUUUAAAUUUAACUUAACAACUGUUUGCUGCUUGAAUAUAGAAAAUCUACUAACAGGCCUUAUGAGCCUUGAACAAACAAAAUGGGGUUUGCAUUUGAGCAUGGUGCGUAUAUUCACAAACUUCAUGUAUAUUUAAUACCGAAGAUUGGCAAUUAGGGUACUUUAAUUUAUAACAAAGUUUGUUAUCGUUGUCUGUUAAACAGCUUUAACUAUCCUUUGUUGUUUAAUCUUGUGAACAACUUUUGUUCAAAAUUCAAAGUAUGGUAUGGGACAACUGUUGGAAGCACGAGGUGAUACACUGCUCCUUUCGAUCCAUAAUAAGUGUCCGAGAUGUAUUAACUUUAUACUGAAUCCCCGGCAUGCAUUAUGGAUCGAAAGGAGUAGUUUAGAAGGAAUGCUUGGAUAUGCGUGAUGAAGAGGAGGUCUCAAGAAGAGUGAAGGAGAAACCGGAGGAAAACAUCACCCUGUAAACCCGGAGGCAUUGCAGUUGAAGUUAGCGCUCUAUUGUAAUGUCUCUACAAUAAAUGUAAUGUCUCUACAAUUCAUUGUUGUAAACACAGGCAUUGCAAAUUUGCACCCAACUAGAAGCAAAUGAGACAUGAUAUUAGUUUUUUUCAUUA